CUGGAACAGGUUGCCCAGAGAAGCUGUGGGUGCCCCAACCCUGGAAGUGUUCAAGGCUAGGCUGGAUGGAACUUUGAGCAGAAACUCUGUGGAAAAGGAGCAAAGACAAUCCAGAUGGCUGUGAAAGUGAAGACUAUGUGGGAAAUCAUGCAAGAGAUACAUUGCCUGCAGAAUGGGGAAAAACAUUAAAUCUUGGAGUUGCUGAUGCAGCAAUUAAUAUUGCAACCUUCACUGCCUUCAACGCACGGAAGAAAAGGGUCUAAAAGAGUCCAAAAACAGCAGGGUGACCACGACUUCAGCAGGCAUGAAUGGGAGGUGAGGAGGCGUGCUCUAGGACACUUGGCGUCUGAAGACCUCAACUUGAGCAGUAAUUAUAGAAGAACACAGUGUUCCACAGCUGAAAUUCAGAUGCAACCCUUUGGACACCUACAUAACAUUUUUCAGUGGUUUUUGUUUGUUUGUUUUGUUUGUUCUUGUGUUGGUUGGUUGUUUUUUUUUUUUGUCUCUUGUUAGCUUGCUCCAGAGCACACUUCAAGUGCCAAACAGAAGGAAACACUCGAACAGAACUCAAAUACCUGGCUCUCCUUAGUUUGCUUAAAACAGUGGGAUAAUUCCUCCGGUUUCAGCAAAACUCACCCUGAUUUACAGCAGCACAAGUGAGAUUAGUAUACUCUCACUUUUUUGUGUUUUAUGUCCAACACUGUGAGGACAAAAAAAGACCCUUUAUACCUGACCAAGCUGCCUGAAAUGAGACCUUUAAUUUGGCAUAUCCUUAUUAACAGAAAUUAAUGAAAGAUGUAGUAAAGCACACUCAUUCCUCAAAGCAGCAUACAGAGACAAGUAGUUUUAAACACACCUGCUAAUAAUUGUCAGAACAAAAUCUCAGGAACAUAGGACCAGCACCCCAAUAUCUUUGUCUUCUUAGUGGGUACUGUUUUGCUGAGAAAAUUAUGGCUCCUUAGUCAACACCCAUGGUUACUCUUAAAAGCUUUUCUUUUUCACACAUGAAACCGUAAAGUUCAAAUGAGACUUUUUUGACCUCACACAUUUGUUAUUUGUGAGAUGACUAAUAAAAGUAAUUAUCAGUAGUCUUUGACA
rnacentral:lncRNA from 1 species